UUUAGAAACAUUUACCCUCCAAGACACAUUAUGAGUUAUCAAUUACAUAUAAAGACACAUUGAGUUAAGAGAACACUUUCUUAUGUUCAUUUGUCUGAAUUGCCCUUCAACUAAAAAGAAGAUGUCAUAACAUGUGUCAAAAUUAUUUUCAAUAUAAUUCCAUUUAACUUUCACCUUUUAGUUUCAUAUUUUUUAAUUCCCUAAACUUAAUCAUGCCUCCAUCUAUCGUCAUCUUCAUCUCUCAUCUUUCGUAUCCUUCUAAAUAUUCUUCUACUUCACUAAAUUUGUAGAUUUUUUUUUUUAUAAUUCUAAAUUACUAAUUUUUGUUGUCGAAUCUUUAUCUUUCACCACUUUAUUUUUUAAAUCUCGAAUUCAUGGAAACUUCAGAUUGGGAGCUAAGGAAAGUCGAUUCUGAAAUUUCAGCUUGGGUGAUUCUAGAUCUUCGCCGACGAAUACAUCCAAGACAGCAAAGCCGAUGUAUCUCCUGCAACAUUUGAUUCACAUGUCGCCCAUCCUUUUCAUGUCCAUCAAUUUCCUUGUCCACAAAUGAACUAUCCACAAAGCUGUCUUGGAUCUAAGUUUGAUUCACAUGUCGCCCAUCCUUUUCAGUGGAUUAGCUCGUGAUUUUCCGUGGAUGAACUUGGGAUUCGACGUGGAUGAACUCGAGGUAGUUGCCUUGGAUCUAAGUUUUUUAUCUCUUCAUGGUGGCUUCUGUUGCAGAGAGAAAGCUCUAAAAGAAACAAUGGUCAAAUUACUCUAUUUUACACAUAUAGUCCUCCCAUUUUUGGAUUUUUGCAAUUUGACCCCAACAUUCUUUAAUUUACUUAUAGAUCCUCUUGAUUUCGUCUCAAACUUUUAAUUAUGUACUUUACGUAAGAAUAAUUUUCUUAUCAACUCAUAUCCACACUUGCUAUGUCCAUUAAAUAUUAUUUAAUAAAAUAAAAAUUUAUAAAAUAUCAAAAAUAUAUAUAUGGAUACAAAUAUAUUUUGUCCAUAGAAACUUGUCCACAAAAACAUUAUAACAUUUUUGUGUCCACAUAAAUUAUGUCCACAGAAGCUUGUCUACAUAAAUUACGUCCAUUGAAUUGCGUCCACACAAAAAGCUUAAUCCCUUUCUCUCUUUCAAAACGUCACAAUACAAUAUGUUCUCUAGAUGGAUUAUCUUCAAACAAACAACACAAACCCUAGAUAGAUUAAACUUCAAACACGAUCUUUGUCUACAAUAACAUGUUCACAAACAGUCAUAGUUACACAACUAUAAUUGUAAGAGCUUGUCCAUAAGAACAGGUCCACUACAAACUUGUUUAUAAGAACACAUUCACAUGACUCUUGUCCACAACAUAUAUAUCCACCAGAAAACUGUCCACAAUGUUAACACUCGUCCACAAUUCGUCUAUCCAUAUAACACUCGUCCACAAUUCAUCUGUCCACAUAACACUCGUCCACAAAGACGUAUCCAUAAAAAAAUGUUACAAAAACCUGUCUCCAAUCCAUGCUACAACUUCUUUAUUUUAUUCAUGAUUGAUAAAAGAGAGAGACAUCAAGUAUAAGAACAUAGUUGUUGUCCUUUUAUUGGUAGAAAACUAUAAUUUGAGGAUUGUGAAGCAGAAGUAGAGAAAUAAAAUUUAUUGGGGUCUAAACUGCACAACUGAAAGUUUGGUGUUAAUUUAAGAGGACAUUUCUGCAAAACAAUCGAAAGAAAUCAAAAAGUGAAGGACCAAAUCUGAAAAUUAUUGAAAAUCCACCAUUGUUGCUUGAUCUCUUAUGUGACGAGACAGAGACAGCGAUGAUGAGCACGACGAGGCUUGAAUCCGAGCAUGACACCGUCGGCAGAGCAAGACGACGGAGAUGGUCUGGUGGCCUGAGACAGACGCGACGAGCUGCGGCGGAAAAGAGAGAGCUCAAGACAGGUUAAUCACGGAGGAUAUGAAGCAUACGCAACAAAGGAGGUUUGCGGUUGAGAACUGUUGGUUGGAGUACAGUGGCUGGAGAUUGUAAUGGGAGAGAAGCCGCCAAGCUUGGUUGCCACGAGUUGCAGUCGAAGGUGAGAAGAUCCACGAAGAAAAUGAAUCAAGUGAAGCUUGCGACAGAGACAGAAGAUAUUUCAGUUUGGAAAAAAACAUUAAUAAUCCAACUAUUUUCCUAACUUAACUAACUAGAAGAAAGUAACUAAUUCUUUUUUUUUUGCUAACUACACGUAAAGCUAAAGGGCAUAAUGGUCAAAAAAAGAUCUUAGUUUCAUGAAUUGUGUGCUUCAGACAUAAUGUGUCCUUUUAUGAAAGAAAAAAGACAAAUGUGUCUUUGAGAGUAACUCACUCUAAUUUUUAAUAGCAUUUGCUCUUCUCGAUGGCAGAGAAUCACCCCUCAGAUGUACACACCACACCUAUGUAUCUCUCUCUUAUUAUCGAUUUUUUUUUAUGGGUCAAAGCUCUUAUUAUCAAUUUUUUUUUUCAAUAUUUUGUAUAGCUUUUAAUCUUGGAAUCAAAUGUUAUUUUCCCUUUUCAAUUAUUAACGCGAGAAAAAAGGCAAGGUGGAUUGGUGUGGUUGGCUAAACUUUAUAGAAAGCUUAAUUAUCAUGCUUCCACCCACAAUCUAGAAAAAUACAAAACAAAUCAAUUAAACACGAGUUUGUUGGGGUUUUCCAUUUAUGUAAGUUUGAUCUAAUAAUUAUAUGAAACAAGUUCUUUUCAAGAAGGAUCUAAACAUUUGCAGACCAUUUGAUUGAAAGUUCAAUUCUAUGUGAUGACCAGAUUAAACUAGAGUUAUUUUCACUCUAGGACAGUUUCCAUGUUUCCAUGUUAUAAAAAGACACUUUCCGCUACUGAGGCAGUUUCUAUGUGAAAAGACCCAACUUGCCCUUAGUAAAACCUAACCAGUUUUCCCCUUUUCUCGUUUCUUAGUUUGUUUGUUGGAUUUUCAAAAUUCAAAAUCGGUGUGAUGGGCCCACAAGCGUAAGAAAUCCCACUUUCAAUUAUUAUAAAUAUUAAAUACGGAUUUGUAAGGGAAAUUAUUCUCUUUCACCUUGGCUUUUAUCGAGACCAGAGGGAGAAACUGAAAAGGCGAUAACGUGUCUAAAAAUCGACGGCGAGGUUCGGCGACGAGAAACAAGAUGUCACGACAGCGGAGUCUGCGGGGUAAAGAGAUGGUGAGGCGUAACGACGAAGAAAAAAUGGUGAGGCGUAACGACGUUAAAGGCAUGUCUCGGCGGCGGAGUCUGCAGGGAAAAGAGAUAGCUGACGGUGAGUUAACUUCAGUUUUGCUUUGAUGGCUAGAUUGGUUAAUUUUGAUGUUGUUUUUUUUAGCCUGAUUCUCUUUGUUGGAUAGAAACAGUGGCGGUAGAAGAUGUAAAGGGAAGUCUCCCAGAAAGGCUCUUUGCAACGGAUCGGUACCCAUGCGAGAGGAUCAAUAUGUACUCGGCGAUUGAUAAUCUACGUGCGUUAGAGACGCACUGAACGACACGGAGGAGAUGGCCCUAUUGUUGAGGUCUUGCUUUGGAAGCCUUCAGUUUUGGGCGUUUUAAGCUAUCCCAGCUUUGCUUAAGCGUUUAGGUGGUGACAAUGAGUAGAAACUGUUGAAUUAUGUUGGUGAGAAGCUUACACAACAUACUAGGGUGGUUCUGUAUUGAUGUACAUGUGGACUUGUAAACGAAUGUGUGUUUGGUUGUACAUAUGGACAUGUGAAUGAAUGAGCGUUGUGAACACGUAUUAUGUGGUGUCUAACAAUUUUCUUUAAUUAUGUGUACUGAGAAAAUUGGCUGUGUACACUAUCUGAGUUGUAUAUGUGUACACGUAUGAAGCUAUACAUAUUUUCAAGCUUCAAAUUGUUAUGGAUGGUCUUAUUCCUAUGGUAUACAUCAAUGACUAAGAAAUUGAAUCAUCAAUCUAUGUAUACUUUCUCCAUGUUUAUCCCUUUGCAUAUUCUUUGUUUGUCUGUUAAUGUUUCCUUGUUGUUGGCUUUUGAAGACAUAGUUUUUGUUUGAUUUUUAUAACGUUCAUCUGUACACAUAAAAUUUACUAUCCACAUGUACAAUACUUCAUGUGUACAGCGUCUAACAUAUAUAUACAUUGUCUAACAAAAUUUCAUAUGUACAUUAUUUGAGUUGUACAUGUGUGCACAUAUGAAACUAUACAUAUUCUCAAGCUUCAAAUCGUUGUGGAUGGUCUUAUUUCUAUGGUAUACAUCAACGACGGAGAAAUAUACGUACACAAUUAUGUAUCUUACACAACAAAUACACACCAUUUCCCAUGAAACCAUUCUUCGAUUCUAUUAUAUGUUCAUUACAUUGGCCAUCACAACCCUGUUAAAUGAUACAUGUACCCGUGGACUUGUUCAUGAGUAUGCGUCAUGUACACUGAUACAUUUACGUACACUGCCUACUGAUUGUACACAGUUUCUAAUCAACCAUGUACUCGCGUUCACUCAAACUUGUCAACAAAUUAAUAAACAUCGGCGGUUAAUAAUGUCUUCACCUGACAUGACUUGGUGGAUAUAUUUAGGAAGUAGUAUGCGAUGGAGAUUUACACGGAUUGGGUUGUGCCUUUGUACUUGUGAUAAUUGUAGACAUCUAUGCGUUGUUUGGUUUAAAAGGGAGGGUGUAUUUUGUGUUGUUGGGAUAUUAUAGAACGGGAUGACGUAUUUUGCCUUUUGUAGUAUUUGUGUUUAAAGAACAUAUUAUGUAAGGACGGAUAUUGUAGUAUUUGUGUUGUUUGGACGAAACAGCUUUUGUUCAAGGAAAGCACCCUUAGAUAAAUGUGUGUGUGACUAAAGAACAUGUGUAAGUACAAAUCAAGAGGUAUUGUACACUAAAACCAACCUGUAUUAAAUACAUGUACAACCACGAGGUAGAUAAAUGCAUGUACAUGUGGACGUGAAAAAGUAAUACACAUGGUAACCGAACAUAUUGGGUAUCAGUUAAGGUGGACAUAAAAUGUUAAAGCGUCUUCAAACCAGCUUAUACAUGUUCAUACUUGUUCUCUCAAAUUACAAUUCAGCCUGUGAAACAAAGUUGUACAUAUAGACAGGCACAAAUGUACAACCCCGGACGUUGUGAAAAAUGUGUACAUGUGGACGUAACUAAGAUGUACACAUGCUAAAAGACAAUGUGUACUAAUUACUCGUGGCUGAUGUCAAAAACUCAGAUUUGGAUAAGCGGACCUGAACUUAUUGAAUAUCAGUAGGGGUGGGCAUAAAUGAUAAAAUCGUCUUCAAAACAGCUCAUACAUGUUCAUAAUUGGAUUAAUUAAUAUAACAGAGAAAAUGAAUUAAUUUUGAUAAUUGGAUGUUAGAAAACUAACCACAAGUUUAGCUGAAGUUAAUUUGUGGCCAAAUAUAAACAAAGCUGUAGAUUACGGUGUUUAUUCUUUCUAAAAAAAAGUUUGAAACAAAACGAUGAAGAUGAAGAAGGGAGAAUAACAAAUUAAAUCUGGGCCGUAAAAAGUAAAAGACAAAAAGUAAAUCUAAAGGGUGAGAAUUUAGACAGAUAUAUGUCUUGUCAUAUAUGACAGAUUUAUUAUGGGACGUUGGAUGGGGGGGAGAUAUGCGGUGGAUAUAGGUUCCCGCCAAUAAACUAGUUGGGCUUUUCCUAUGAGUAGUUACGGAUGAACUAUAUUGAUUAGGUACAAGUGGAGAAAAGUGGAUUAGUUAGAAGAAACUGUCCUAGUAGCUGAAUGUGACCCAUUGUGUUAUUAGAAACUUAGAAACUGCCUUAGAGUGUAAUAUUCUCAUUAAACUAUAGAUCAAAACUAAACCAACAAUGUCGUUUUCACUUGUAGCAUAAUACUACGAUUGUAUUUUUCUUCUUUUUCCAACAAGCAGACUAUGAUUAUCAAACCCAAUAAACCAAUACUAAUAUAUUGAAGUUAGAAUAAAAAUAAAUUAAAGAAGAAAAUAAAAUAACUAACGAUAUUUGUGUAUCGAGCCAUAUAAG